rnacentral:lncRNA from 1 species
AGGGAACCAUCUCAACAGUCUUCGUGCAACACUGGGUGCACUUUGUCAGCAUCGCGAUAACCCAGAAGAGAACACGUGUAGAUGGCCUCUAUGAAGCUCUUUUGCUUGUUAGCAGCUGGUCAAAGUUAGCAGAAAUGGAAGGAAGUGAACUCAACCAACAAAAGAGAACUGAGCAAUUCAUCCCGGGUGUGAUGUUGUCUUCUCCCAAGGACCUUCUCCAACCACACUACUCGAAGUGUGUCCAGAAUUGGUGGGCUCUUGGUCUCGCUGACUUCAAGAAUGAAGCCGUGGACCCUCGCGAUUAAACAAGUGCAACUUUCCCAAUCUCACACAACUACUUGUGGAGCCAGGAUUCCAUACAGGCAAUGUGAGUGCACAUCCAAAACUUGAAACCACUGAACAAUAAUGCUUUCUGAAAGAUAAGGAAUUUAUUCAUGAUCAUUGGUGCUAUCUGGCUUGCUCGUCCUCCUCAACUUCCAGUACUGUUGAAUCGUUGUGUAUAAUUUGACCAACAUUAAAUCUUUCAUUUUUGACACGGAGUCUCGCUCUGUCGCCCAGGCUGGAGUGCAGUGGCAUGAUCUCAGCUCACUGCAAGCUCCGCCUCCCAGGUUCAUGCCAUUCUCCUGCCUCAGUCUCCCAGGUAGCUGGGACUACAGGCACCCCCCAACCAUGCCCGGCUAAUUUUUUGUAUUUUUAGUGGAGACGGGGUUUCACCGUGUUAGCCAGGAUGGUCUUGAUCUCCUGACCUUGUGAUCCGCCCGCCUUGGCCUCCCAAAGUGCUGGGAUUACAGGCACAACAUUAAAUCUUUUUAAAUGAUACGUGUCUCUUUGGUUAGUUUUCACACAGUUAUAGGUCAUAAACCAUUUUUACCUUACCUUUCUCACUUAACAUGUACUAUAAGCAUUUUCUAUAAUAUUUUACUUCUAUCUCUUUAGCAACUGAGCCCUAAAGCCCGUCCAUGUGUCUAGACUGGUCUGUUGCUCCUUCACUUUUUAAAAGAUAGAAAAAUAUAGUUACUACUAGUUGAAACUGCAUCCUGAAUUUGACUUUCCAAAAGUUGACGCAUUCCAUCAUGAAGUGGCCUGGUCUUUCCCCAGCAGCAGCAAUCCAACAAACUAGCAGCUGACUAUGCCCAAGUAGAAAACCCCAUACUCUAGAAGGGGCUACAUCACAUCCCCCUGGCAAGUUGCUCUCUUCACCCAGUGAAUUUAC